rfam:Brugia malayi, FR3, WGS project CAPY01000000 data, contig: ctg1510365
UGAAUGUUUCGGCCCAGAGUUUAGGCUACUGUGGCUUGAAGUAAAAUUUUGGAACGUCCUGCAUGUUUGGUGGGACAAU